AUUGAACGCUGGCGGCAGGCCUAACACAUGCAAGUCGAGCGGAUGAAGGGAGCUUGCUCCUGGAUUUAGCGGCGGACGGGUGAGUAAUGCCUAGGAAUCUGCCUGGUAGUGGGGGAUAACGUUCCGAAAGGAACGCUAAUACCGCGUACGUCCUACGGGAGAAAGCAGGGGACCUUCGGGCCUUGCGCUAUCAGAUGAGCCUAGGUCGGAUUAGCUAGUUGGUGAGGUAAUGGCUCACCAAGGCGACGAUCCGUAACUGGUCUGAGAGGAUGAUCAGUCACACUGGAACUGAGACACGGUCCAGACUCCUACGGGAGGCAGCAGUGGGGAAUAUUGGACAAUGGGCGAAAGCCUGAUCCAGCCAUGCCGCGUGUGUGAAGAAGGUCUUCGGAUUGUAAAGCACUUUAAGUUGGGAGGAAGGGUUGUACGUUAAUACCGUGCAAUUUUGACGUUACCGACAGAAUAAGCACCGGCUAACUUCGUGCCAGCAGCCGCGGUAAUACGAAGGGUGCAAGCGUUAAUCGGAAUUACUGGGCGUAAAGCGCGCGUAGGUGGUUCAGUAAGUUGGAAGUGAAAUCCCCGGGCUCAACCUGGGAACUGCUUUCAAAACUGCUGAGCUAGAGUACGGUAGAGGGUAGUGGAAUUUCCUGUGUAGCGGUGAAAUGCGUAGAUAUAGGAAGGAACACCAGUGGCGAAGGCGACUACCUGGACUGAUACUGACACUGA
rnacentral:rRNA from 1 species